CUUGGUCGUGAAGCAGUGAGUUGUUUAGUCUCCAUGAGCCUUUGCCUUUGUAUGUGAAUGCGUCAGUGAGUGUCAGUAUCACUGGGGCGUGGUCCGACCAUGUAAUAUCUCCAUGUAUACAUUGAUGCGUGUGUGGUAAUCCUGUGCUGGUCAUGAAAAAAUGAUCUAUCCUAGAGUGGGUCUUGUGCACUUGGGAGUAGUAGGUGUAGUCCUUAUCUCCUGGAUGUAGUGUGCGCCACACAUCGUAUAAGUUAAAUUGAAUUAGCAGUUUAUUAAGUUUGGCGCAGACCGG